ACUCCAAACCUUUAUAUUUAUGUUCACCUUGACAUGGGAAACAUAAAUAUGGGUUUGCAUGUUGAGUGGAAUGAUUGUAACGAGUAGAACCAGAAGCCUUGAGCUAUAUGACGAUGAUUGAGCCUAAAUCCAACAAAACUGAGCUCUAUCUUGGCUCCAUCAAAUCCUAGGUAAGCUUUAUAAUAGUUGUGCAGUGUUUUGAGUUGAGAUUUUCAAGGUUUUGACCUCAUGUAUGCACUAAUUUCCAUUUCUAGUUUCUAGCGAGGGGCAAAGGACGAACUCCAACGAGUUCGAGGUGAACUUCUUGACUUAAUCUUCUAAUCUUCUUCUAGUUAAGUUUCUGAGCUACUGGUGUUUGGUUUUAUGUUUACCGUAUGUUCCAAGUUUCCGAUGAGCGAGUUCAAGGGGAAGGCCUUCAAUCUCAGGUGGAUUCAACCUUCCAGAAAUGAUUAUAGGUGAGCUCCUAGAAUUUUUUUUACUAAGUUUUAUGAUCGAGCUCAGAAGGGGGAACUAUGACCAUGAUCUGCAGUUCAUAAUGAUACCAUGGUGACAUCAAACGGAGGUCAACGGCGGUUGUCGUUAGGACUAACGGUGACAGCGACGGCCAAAUUCUACAUCUACAAGCAAUAGGAAAAGAAGAAAGAAAUUAUCUAACACUUCAUUUCGAUAUUGAUUGUGAAAUUGCAUUGCUGUUUCAGAAGAAGCUAUACUAAUUCGAUAUACUCUAAAAAUACCCUUGGUACAAUAUUGACAAUCUCACAAAGAUUGGAUUUCAAUGAAUUUCCAUUUAUUGAUUUAAUCUUUUACGGAAUCACCCCCCUCAAACAUUUCUAAUCGGUUGUCUUGUGUUUCUAAUAAGUUGCAUGAUAGUUGGCAUAUUGAAUCAUAUACAUAUACAUAAUGGGUUCGUUUA
rnacentral:lncRNA from 1 species